rnacentral:siRNA from 1 species
AGGAGAUCUUGCACGCGUUAUGAU